AGUGAACGCUGGCGGCGUGCCUAAUACAUGCAAGUCGAACGGAGUGGCGCACGGGUGAGUAAUAUAUAGCUAAUCUGCCCCUUGCUGGAGGACACCAGUUAGAAAUGACUGCUAAUACUCCAUAGCAAGGGAUGAGACUAUAUCGUAUCAGCUAGUCGGUGGGGUAACGGCCUACCGAGGCGAUGACGCGUAACUGGUCUGAGAGGAUGAUCAGUCAAAUUGGAACUGAGGCACGGUUCGGGCACCUAGGACAGGGAACAGUAGGGAAUAUCACGCAAUCGGGGAAACCCAGACGCGGCAACGGGUCGUAGAGGAUGACACUUGUCGGAGAAUGAACUCCUUUUAUUAGGGAAGCGGUACCUAACGAAUAAGCACCGGCUAACUCCGUGCCAGCAGCCGCGGUAAUUC
rnacentral:rRNA from 1 species